UCCCUGGUGGCUUAGACAGUAAAGAACCUGCCUGCAAUGUGGGAGAUCCAGGUUCGAUACCUGGGUUGGGAA
rnacentral:tRNA from 1 species